rnacentral:lncRNA from 1 species
AGUGGGACAAUAGCUUAACUGCCAUCACACUAUGGCAGAAAAAAAGUCAGAAAAAGUUAUAGAAAAAUGUUGUCGUGAUACUUAGAUCCCCUUUGGACCGAUAUGCAGCACCUUUGGCUUUAUUACUGGAACAAGUUGAACAACUGGUUCCUAUGGUUGAAAGCCCAUAAGUUUGGCCCCAAAACAUUCUAACAUAUCCUGCGCCAUGGAGGAUG